UACGAGGGGGGCGAGCGUUGUUCGGAAUUAUUGGGCGUAAAGCGCGCGCAGGCGGCCUUUUAAGUCUGAUGUGAAAGCCCACGGCUCAACCGUGGAAGGUCAUUGGAAACUGAAAGGCUUGAGUACAGAAGAGGAAAGCGGAAUUCCACGUGUAGCGGUGAAAUGCGUAGAGAUGUGGAGGAACACCUGUGGCGAAAGCGGCUCACUGGACCAUAACUGACGCUGAUGCACGAAAGCUAGGGGAGCAAACAGG
rnacentral:rRNA from 1 species